GCUUGCACAUACUAUCACAGAGUUGUUCACACCUGGUAUUUUGUCACGGUGGUGGGGAUGGACCUAACACAUUGCUGUAUUAGUUUGGACGGUUAAUAGGCAAGUAUCACAGACUUCCACAGAAGCAUAGUAUUUUCUCAUAAUUCUAGAGGCCAGAAGUCCAAGAUCAAGGGCCUCAGGCUGAGUCCCCCCUCCCUGGCUUGCAGGCAGGAUCCUCUCUUGGUAUUUUCCUUCGUCCCUCUGCCUAGGCAUCUCUGUCUUAACCUCCAUUUCUCCUCAGGACAUCACUCACUGUGAGACUGGCGUGGAUCAGAGGAUGCCAUUUUAACAGAUCACCUUGGUGAAGGCCUGUCUCCCAGCGUAGAUCCUAGGGCUUAGGGCUUCACCAUAUGGAUUUGGAUGGAGGAGGCAGAUCGCCCGUGACAACUGUUUCAUUUGAGUCAAACUCAGUGUCAUGUAUCUUAUCUUGUACAGCAACACUCCUCCUGUUAUAAUUUUUUUUUGAGACAUGGUUUCUCUGUGUAGCUUUGGAGCCUGUCCUGGCACUCGCUCUGGAUACCAGGCUGGCCUCAAACUCACAGAGAUCCGCCUGCCUCUUCCUCCCGAGUGCUGGGAUUAAAGGUGUGUGCCACCAAUGCCCGGCAUAAAACAAUUAUUAAUGAAUUAUGUGGUCAAUAAUGAGUGACCACAUUGAGAUCAAUGAUCCAGACUCAUUGAGAACCUUGAACAGAGCCUGCCAACAUCCCAUGGUCAGAUUGAGUGACAAAGAGAAGCCACCAGUGAAUCUUCCAGUGAUUUGCAUGCUCCAUCUCUUUCUUUUAACGUCUGAGUUCCCAGGUUGGCCUGUGUGGAGCUUGGCAUCAGAUCUGCCCCUUGGGAACAUGAGAUCUGCAUAUUCCUGCCGGGGCUUGUUCCUGGGGACUCCAGGCCUAGUCUCUCCUCAGGACUGCAUGUGACAUCCAGGAGGCUGCAGACAGGACGGUUCAGUAUGGGCUUCUUGCUUGCCAUAGUUCUGCUUGCUGCAACAGCUCCUGGCAUCCAUACUGUGGAAAGAGUAACUAUGAUCAUUGGAAAUGCCUUCGAAGCAAAUAAGGACAAGGAGGAGAGUCCAAAGCUGUCAGUCGUGUUUCUUCUUGUAAACAAACUGGCAUGGUUUGGUUAGGAAGUGAGAGGCAGCUAAACAUUGGAAUCAGAGAAAACGUGGGUUUGAUUUUAACUUGCACUGGUCCUUCGCCUUAUGAACUUCAAAAUGGGUGUGUUCUUGCCUGCCUGCCCUCCCUUCCUCCGCCCCUCCCCCUUUCUCUUUCCCUCCCCUCCUUCUUUGUCAUUUUUUUUUGAGACAGGGUCUUACGUAGCUCUGCCUUGCCUUGAACUCCCAAAUGCUGGGAGGGACCACAGGCUUGUGUCACCAAGCUCCUCACGGUGCUAAAGAUUGAACCUAGGACCUCAUGCGUGCUAGAUUUACGGUCCAGUUUCAUAGAGCAAACACAAUACUCUGUGCUCAGCAUGCCAUUUCCUCUUCCGGACACACAGCAGGAAAGCGCCGUUCACUCCUCCAGCACAGUCAUGCUGAGGUCACAGGAGCACGGGCCAGCACACAUGGCUGUGAGCUCUACGUGCCAUUUCUCAGCCCGAGUAUAAAAGGCCCUGGAAAAAAAUCUCCCUCGCCCUCCCCCGCUCUCAUCCUUUCAGGACCUUGGUGGCCACAUGAUGGAUGAGGUUAUAACAUAAAAUUUGCAGAGAUGGGGGAUGUGGGGAGCGGAGCUGACGUGACUUUUCAGAAGAGAGUCAUCCUGGUUGUCUGUCUGCUCUGACCUAUUUCAGGGUUUCCUUGUGCAACAAGCAAACCUUCAUUGUGUCAAGACCCUAAGGGUUCAAAGUGCAUCGUUGUGGAAUAGCCCGACACAUUGUAACUAAAAGUGUGUGUGUGUGUGUGUGUGUGUGUGUGUGUGUGUGUGUGUGUGUGUGUGUGGUGUGUACACGUGAGCACAGUGUCUCAUCUAGUCAGGGCUGUCUUUGCACUCAUUGGAUAGUGUAGGAUGACCUUGAACUUCUGCUCCAUUUACCUCCACUUUCUGAGUGCUGGGAUUGCAGGCCUGCACCACCACGCCCCAUUCGUGCUGUACUGAGGGUGGAACCCAGAGUUUUGUGCCUGCUGGGCCCUCUACCGACUAAGCCCUUUCGAUGGUUACUUCUAAUUGUCAACUGGAGCAACCUAGAAUUAUCCGGGAAGAAACAGACGGGAUGUCUGCCUACUCAUUUAUCCACAGAUGCGCCGAGGAUGGCCUGCUGAGCAGUGGUCUUUCGUGGCCUACUCCCAGUCUUUGAAGUGUCUUUGUUGUCUUUGGAAGCAAUAAAUAUGACACAUUCAUCAUUAAAUAAAUACAAUCCACAUGAUGUAGAUAAACUCACAAGGACACCCCACUGCUGCCAUCCAAAAGAAAGCCCCUGGGUCCAAAAGGGAGUAACAUGGUAACAACAGUUGACAGGAUGGAGGCUACAGGCCCUGGUGGUGACCAUUGUAUAGAUCAUACUCCGCUUUAAUAGGAGCUUGAUUAAACUGUGCGCCAGUAUGAAUGCUAUAAGACUCUUCCAAUACUUGUUACGUUGUUGAAAGAAGUAAAAUUAAGCAACC
ensembl:lncRNA